GUUUUUAUAGUUUAACAAUAAAACGCUGAUUUUGUAAAUCAAGAAUAAAUUUAUUUUUAAAAACU
rnacentral:tRNA from 1 species